CAGCUCGUCCAUUACGCAACGGCAUGUAUGCUGGGAUCAACAUCGUCGACGCAGCAAUGGCAACUCGGAGAGCUCUUUUCGAUUUCAUCGUACUGUUCAAAAGUGGUGAGGCCUUGGCCCGCAACAGUGUCCACUAAAAGGAGGAGCCCCCAGAAAUGCAGACCCCAUAUGAGUGCCUGCAGCAGCACGGCUGGAUGCUCAUGUCAGGCUUCACCAUGGCGGAGUACCAGGCGGAACCAACGAGGUUAAAA
rnacentral:lncRNA from 1 species